CGCACUUCGGUGUAACAAAAUAAAAAUUAUUCUUUUUUAGUCAUAUCGGAAAAACGAUAUUUAAUUCACGCAAAGCAGUCGCUGGGUGAAUAACGUUAUUCAAUAUUGUUUGUUUUUAUGACUGUACGUACCUAUUUUGAUAAGAAUAGUGUGUUUAAUGUUUUAUUAAAAUUUAGUGAAUAAAUAGAAAUCAAAAAAAAAAGAACAGUGACCAAAUAAAUGGUUUUUGUUUUUUUUGUGAUGUGUAACACACGGGAAACCAAAGCUUUGACGGUAAAAAAAGGAUCGACUUUUUAAGUUUAAAAAACCAGUUACAUAUGUCUGGCCGAGAUAGAUAUAUUGGAGGAAUUUGGGAGUCUGGAUCAGCAAAAAGAAAAUGAAAAGCUGACAGAACUGCAUCCAACUUGGUUUUGAGUUUAAAUGUGAUUAAGUUCCUCAACGAAACUGGAUCCGGUAGUACAGAACCAUCUGAAUCGAUAGAUAUCUAAGACACUGAUGAUAGAUAGAUAGAUACGAUAGACGUCUAAGAUACUGUUUGGAAAUGCUCCAGAUGUACUGAGUACUGAGAGCGAACAUUAGUUAAAAGUAAAGUUUGGAUCAUCCUCUAGCCCAGGGGUGGGUAUAUUAGCCCUCAGUGGCAUUUUGCACUGUUCGGGCACGCGUGCACAUUUUGAGGGCUAGAUCAGGGGAUCAUCGCGGGCAAACAUGAAGAGGGAAGUGAGAGCAACGUAUUUUACCACUCCAUAUUUACAAAUGAGAGCGCGCGAGUUAAUUUUUACCAUAAGUAAAAAUGAGUCAAAAGAAUAUAUUUUGAGCUGCACCGAAAUGUGUACUCUUUAUUUAUACUCUUAAGACUGACUUAUUACAUGUUUCUUACUUCUAUUUAUACGAGUACUAACUAGUAUGUUUACUUAUUAAUAGUUGAUAGUUUGUCUAAAUACAGAUUGUAUUAUUUGUUUAGGUUUGUUUACAUUAGAGCUCCCACUCCCGGAAUGUUUUCGAAUUCCCGGGAUUUCGGGAUAUCGAAAUUUCAUUUCCCGGGAUUCCCGGGAAAAACGGGAGAAAAUAAAAUUGCUAAUUAUUGCUUAUAAAUUUAAAAAAAUUAAAUUAUUUUUUUUAUUUCCAAUCAGUUACAUAGAUUCAAUUAAGUAUUCCCAUGUUUUUGGGUUCUUUAUAAUAAAAAAAUUAUUAUUUAAUAAUAAUUAUUAUUUCUUAUAAAUUGAAAAAAAUAUAUAAUUCACUUUUUAUUUCGAAUCCGUUACAUGAAUUAAAUUAAAAAUAUACCUAUGUAUUUGGUAUUAUAUAUACAUAUAUUAUUUUGUCAAAAAACAAAUAAUAAAAAUCACAGAUCGAUUUCUGUAGGAACUAAUUUUAAAUAGUAUUUUAAAAAUAUAAGCGCAUCCAUUGUUUCAUCGUUUAAACUAGAUCUGAUUUUAGUGCAAAUGCUUCCAGACACUGAAAAACAACGCUCGCAUUCGACACUAGUUGGUGGCAUUGUCUUUAAAAAAUUACAAGCAACCUCCAGAUUGCUGCCAAGCCCGCCGCCCCCAAGAAGUAAAUUUAUUUCCUUUGGUACCGCUUCCUCUACUGAUAAUGAGACAUCUCUUUUUAAAACGCGAGAUUCUUUGACAGUUUCUUGCAACCUUUCCUUCAACGUUUUUUCCUUUUCAUUUUCGAUUAUUUUUAAAUCGAUAUCGCGAUUCUCAACAUCAUUAGUAUUGUACUUUUUGACAAUUAACAGCUGAUCAAACCAGUGCUGUAACUUUGAUCAAACAGUGUUGUAAAGUACUAAAUUCUUACUAAUUGUUUUUUGGCAAUGUUCAUCUAUUGUAAAUACAACUUUGUUUAUGAAAAAAUUAUAAUUAACAGUGUUUAAAAAAAAAGGACAAAAAUCCCGAAUAUCCCGGGAAAUUAAUUUUAAAUCCCGGGAGGAGUUUUAAGUCCGGGAUCCCGGGAUUUCGGGAGCCCGGGAGUGGGAGCUCUAGUUUACAUAUAUAUUGUUUGCCUAGAUACAUUUGCUUUGUUACACUCUCGCAACAAUGUUGCUAAGGAGAGUAUUAUAGUUUUUGUUCACAUAACGGUUGUCCUAAAAGUAAAAGAGUCAGAUAUAGGGUUAUAUAUACCAAAGUGAUCAGGGUGACGAGUAGAGUCGAAAUCCGGAUGUCUGUCUGUCCGUCCGUGCAAGCUGUAACUUGAGUAAAAAUUAAGAUAUCAUGAUGAAACUUGGUGCACGUAUUCCUUGGCUCCAUAAGAAGGUUAAGUUCGAAGAUGGGCAAAAUCGGCCCACUGCCACGCCCACAAAAUGGCGGAAACCGAAAACCUAUAAAGUGUCAUAACUAAGCCAUAAAUAAAGAUAUUAAAAUGAAAUUUGGCACAAAGGAUCGCAUUAGAGAGGGGCAUAUUUGGACGCAAUUUUUUUGGAAAAGUGGGCGUGGCCCGCCCCCUACUAAGUUUUUUGUACAUAUCUCGAAAAUUACUAUAGCUAUGUCAACCAAACUCUACAAGGUCGUUUUCUUCAAGCAUUUCCAUAUACAGUUCAAAAAUGGAAGAAAUCGGAAAAUAACCACGCCCACCUCUCAUACAAAGGUUAUGUUGAAAAUCACUAAAAGUGCGUUAACCGACUAACAAAAAACGUCAGAAACACUAAAUUUUACGGAAGAAAUUGCAGAAGGAAGCUGCACCCAAGCUUUUUUUAAAAAUUGAAAAUGGGCGUGGCGUCGCCCACUUAUGGACCAAAAACCAUAUCUCAGGAACUGCUAGACCGAUUUCAAUGAAAUUCGCUAUAUAAUAUUUCCUUAACACCCUGAUGGCAUGUACGAGAUAUGGGUGAAAUCGGUUCACAACCACGCCUUCUUCCAAUAUAGCGCUAUUUUGAAUUCCAUCUGAUGCCUUUUCUGUAUAAUACGAGUAUAUACAUUAGGAACCAAUGAUGAUAGCGGAAUAAAACUUUACAAAAAUACGGUAUUUGAAAAAUAUGUAAAUGACGGAUAAUGAAAUCUCGAUUAUCACUUUAUCAUGCGAGAGUAUAAAAUGUUCGGUGACACCCGAACUUAGCCGUUCCUUACUUGUUUUAAGAUAAGGUUGUUGUGGUAUUCAAACUCAAUGUUGUUUUGAUACUUGUUUGUUUAGGAUUGUUUGUUGUAGUGAUAGUGCAUUUCAAUUGUUCGAACUCAAGGUUGUUUUGAAGUUUGUUACUACUAUAAGGAAUACAUUCUUUAACUCGCGCAUAUAUGGGAAGUUGCACUGUGGGUAAUAAUUGUAAAAUUACCUAACAAUUUUAAGUUUCUUUAUAAUUACUAUAAAUUUAUAAAAUGUAAGACAAAUAAUAAAAAGUAUAAUAAAUAUUUUGUUUUACUAAUCAUUUUUUAAUAUGUCUUUAUAACAGCAUUUAAUUCAGUUUAUUUGAAAUAAUAAAUUCUAUGUUUGGUUUAAUCUCAAUUGUUGUAGCUAAACGCAUUAUUGUACCAAAAUUUAAAUCAGAUCGGCUACUUGUACUUCUUAUUUUAUGUUUGUUUAAUUUCAUGAUUGAAACAAACUGUUCACAAGUGUAGGUACUUCAAACAUAGAUAUAAUUUAUAAGCAUAUACGCACAAGCUUACAUAGCUAAUGAGCAAAUUAAGCACAAGAAGGGAUAAAAACCGGCGCUAGCAUAACAUUAAGACAUUAUUAGUAAAACAUUAGGAGUGUUAAGAGUGAAAUUAAAUUACUUAUAUGUAAACUUAAAUUAAAUAAAAUCAAAUUAUUAACUGAACAUUAAUUUAUUAUUGGGCUCCUACAUAAUUUGGCGACCGGGACAGGACAUAUGUUCUACAUUUAAUAUUUUUGAUCAAGAAAAGCCAAUAGAUUAAUGUCUCAGUUAAUUUAAAUAAUUCGUUUGUGUUAUACUAGGAAGAGCUGUGUAGCAGUAUCCAACAACGGAUCAUUUGGAUUGUUGUACCCGGACAACAUUCAAUGUAAGCGCAGAUAGCAAUUCUUGCCACACAUAAUCGUACUUGCCGCUGUAAUCAUACAUCCAGAUUACAUGGUUUUAUUAACGUACGUUCAAGAUCUUCUCAUCAACAUCUGUCGAAGUUACCGACAAUGCGUUAACUCGUCGCAGUCUACGCGACUCUUUACAGUACAGUUUCAUCGGAUUGCUGAUCUGCUUUUGCCACAUCUACAACAAUUCUUCGCAACCUACAUAGUAUAAAGCAACAAAUUGCUUGUGAAGAAGUCGAUAGUGAUACGCAUGUUAUCGAAUGUCGACUACAAAUAGUUGAGUCCUAUUUUCAACAUAUUUGUGACAUCCAGAACAAUAUUGAAGCUCUUUCUCCGUCAGGCAAAUCAAGAGCAGAAAUUGAAGAAACGUACAUUUCAACAAAAUCUAAAAUACUUUCGUUAAUCAACCCCAGAAACCGCGUUUCUGAGUUGAACACUAGCAUUUUCAACGCAACAACUUUUGAAAAUACUAGCAGCUACCAUAAUCGAUUGCCUUCACUCAAAUUACCUAAAUUUGACGGCAAAUAUGCGGAAUUUAAACGCUUUUCCGCACUUUUUGUAAUAUGGUGCAUGAUGAUCCAACAAUGCCAAAGGUGGACAAAUUUAAUUAUCUUUUAAACUGUCUUUCAAGACCAGCCCUUAGCGUCAUCGAACCCUUUCAGGUAACCGAAGAUAAUUACCCGAAGGCUAUACAGCGGCUCAAGGAAAGAUACGACAAUAACGUAUUGAUUUUUCAAGAUGAUAUUACAUCGCUUUUCAACGCUCCGGUUAUGAAAAGAUCUGGCACGGCAAGUCUACGAAAUAUUAUCGACACUGUUGCAGCGCUUCGAGGUUUAUUACUCUCGUUGGGCUCAGAAAGCGACAUAAUGAAUUCGUUGCUAAUUCAUAUCGUUUUAACCAAAAUUGAUUCCAAUUCCAAAUCAGCAUACAAUCGAAAGCAAGAGUUUGACUACUUGCCAUGUGGGACGAUUGCUACAAGUGGCUGAAUCGGCACUGUCAGAAUUUAGAAACCUGUUCAAACGGUGAAAACUCAAAAGUAACACAGCGAGAUUGUAAGCUACACGUUGUCAGCUAAGAUGCGUUUUGAUUGGGUGAAGCAAGCAAGAGCUUGCAUCAAUUGCUUACGCAAAUGAUACACCGUACCUAAAUGCUCAUCAAAAUCUCGUUGCCGUGUAUAUCAUCAAUCGCACCACUCUCAUCUUCAUUUUGCCACCGUUGGAACUACAAAUUAUCCAUUUGCACAAACAUUAGAACUUAAAGGGAAAGACAAUAAAUCUGUGUCAUUUACUUCGCCGAAUCCAUCGCAUCAGUCACCAACUAAUCCAUCGGUUUCACUCAUCGCAUGCACACGUAAAAGAGCGAUAUUACCGACAGCUUUAAUUUACAUACAAGAUAAAUUUGGAGUUAUGCAGCCAGCUCGCUCGUUAUGGAUUCAUGUUCCGAAUUGAAUUUCAUCACCGAAGAAACAGCGAAGCGUUUUCAGCUUAAAAGGUUUUUCUCAAAUCAGGAAAUCUCAGGUAUUUCAGAUAUUCGUUCUAAUUCAAAGUAUGCAGUAAAUGCGAAAAUCAAAUCUCGCAUUGGAGAUUUUACUUGUAUGUCGGAAUUCGUUAUAACUAAAAAGAUUACAUCACAAAUUCCUAGUACUUUUAUGAGUACUUCUAAAUAGAAUAUUCCUGAAAACCUUCAGCUUGCGGAUCCAUACUUCUACAAACCGCAACGUAUAGGUUUAUUGCUCAAUACCGAAAUAUUUUUUGAGAGCCUUCAAGAAGGUACAAUUUCUUUCAAAUUCCCGCCCAUAUAUUUGCAAUGUCUCACUAAAUUCAAAUCUAUCGAAUAUCGAUUCGAUUCUUCAACGUUUUUCGGAAAUUGAAAAUUUGACUAAAAAGGAAGCAACAUUGUCCGAAGAAGAACGUUUAUGCGAAAAACACUUCAUUGAAAACGUUCAAGUGAAAAAUGAUGGACGUGUACAAGUACGGUUACCAUUUAAGGUUUCACCGACAAUAUUUGGCAACUCUUUCCAUAAUGUCAGGAAAAGAUUUCUCGCUCUUGAACGACGUUUAUCUAACAAUAAAUUAAUAAAGAACAUGUAAGCGGAUUUCAUAAAAGAAUAUACUGAACUCGGGCACAUGGUUGCCAUAAAAAACUUUGAUUUCAAUAGCUCGCACUACAUAAUUCCACAUCAUUGUGUACUCCGUCCACAAAGUACUACGACCAAGCUUCGGGUUGUAUUCGACGCCUCUGCGCGGACCACUUCUGAUAAUUCAUUAAACGAAAUACUCAUGGUUGGAGCAACAAUUCAUCCAGAACUAAUCAUCACAUUAUUAUCAUUUCGUUUAUAUCCCUACGUAUUAGCCGCCAAUAUAUCAAAAAUGUAUCGGCAAUUUUUGAUUAACUAUCAAGAUCAACGAUAUCAACUCAUUUUGUGGAGAAACGAACCUUAUGAGCCAUUACAGUUGUUUCAACUCAAAACUGUAACUUAUGGAUUGGCUUCUGCAUCAUUCCUAGCAAUUUACAGUUUAUUUCUUAUUGCUGAUGUCAAUAAAGUUGCCUUUCCUCUAGCAUCGUCUGGUGCAGAUAGUAUAGACAACUUACAAAAACUAAAAAUUGAAAUCAUAGAAGUUCUUCGUUCUCAUGGUCUUUCUCUGACUAAAUGGCACUCGAAUUCUACACAAUUAUCUGACGCAUCUUAUAAUGAAGUUGUAAUUAAAAGAACUGAAGAAAACAUUACCAAAGCGUUAGGUACGUCAUUGAAACCUUUAGAUGAUACCCUUUGUUAUCGCUAUGAAUUACCAGAUUUGCAGUCAGUUAUAAAGCGAUCUGUUUUAUUAACUAUUUCCAAAUUUUUUGAUAUCCUCGGUUUAUUGAUUAAUCACGGAUUAUACGUGGCAAAAUAUUAAUGCAAGAAAUUUGGAUUUGUCGCUUAGAUUGGGAUGAAACACUUCCAUCCGAUCUUCAUAACAUUUGGAUGAAGGUUAAAGCCGAUUUAAAUUUCAUUAAUAAAAUCGAAGUUCUUCGUCAUGUACAAACAACAUCCAAUUCUCGCUGUGAAGUCCAUGGCUUCGCAGACGCAUCAACGCGCGCAUAUGAGUGCUACAUUUAUGUACGCUCUGUUAUAAACGACACUUACAAAACAAGGUUACUUAUUGCUAAAACUAAAGUGGCACCGAUUAAGGCACAAUCGCUUCCUCGUUUGGAGCUAUGUACAGCACUGUUACUGAGUAGGACUUGGCAAAAAAGUGGACAAACAAAACAAAAAGGGACAUAACAUUAAAAUCCAAGAUUGGGAACGACGGAAAGGAAUCAAUCUCAAGUGUAGCAAAAGCAGCAACGAGGGAAACAUCAUCAACCGCAGUUCAUCGUACCACCGUCGCUGCAUAUAUAUUUCGUGUCUUCAACAAAGUCGCUGUUAACAAUAAACUAACUCCAGCAAUGAUACUUCAUCUACCGUUAGAGGAACUCGAUCAUACUUGGUGGCGAAUCGUCGUAGCUAUUCAACAGAUCGAAUUCGCUGAAGAAAUUGAAAUACCUCAGAAACAUCAAGAAGUUAAAUGUUUCGUACAGAAGCUGACUCCUUUUCUACAUGAAAUGAAUCUUAACGGAGUGACAGUCCUCAGAGUCGAUGGCCGUUUGUCAAAAGCACCAAUUCCUUUUGACGCAAAAUUUCCGACACUUCUUCCAAAAGAUCAUCGAUUUACAUCUUUAUACAUAGAAUAUCUUCAUCGGAAGUUUUAAUAACUCUCUUGUGUGAGCGAGUCUGGGUUAUAAAUGCUCGCGAAAUCGUAAAGAAAUCGUUCGAAAUUGCGUGCUCUGUUUCCAUUAUAAACCUAAAUUAAUGGGUCAAAUUAUGGCGGAUCUUCCUGCCAAUCGCUUAGUUUAACAUAAAAAAAAAAAACUAUGUUUUUGCCAAAAUGUUACAACUAAGCGAAAAAACAUCAAGAUAAGGAAAAAAUUUAAAAGGUCAUAAAAAAAAACUGACCCAUUCGAACGCCAAACUCUUUGAGGGUUUUACUAUACUGACCAAGUACCAUCACCCUGACUUGGAAUUUCUCACCCCCCAGACAAUAAUCCCAAAAAUGUUCCACAGGGUUAUAAGGAGAGCAGUCUAUAAAAUUGCACCUUUACGUAUUUCGGAAUGAAAUGCAAGCAUUUCAAUGGGGGGGAGCAUGUUUGGUCAGAAGCAUGCCAUAUACAUAUGUUACGGUUUUCUAUGAUUUGUACAUAGUUGCAUUUUUUUUAUGUUCUCACUUUUCGCUUUCAGUUUGCAAGCAGGUAUGUAUAUACAUACGCACAUACAUACGUUUUUCAUACCUACGCCCUCAUAAGCAUAUACGCACAAGCUUACAUAGCUAAUGAGAAAAUUAAGCACAAGAAGGGAUAAAAACCAGUGCUAGCAUAACAUUAAGACAUUAUUAGUAAAACAUUAGGAGUGUUAAGAGUGAAAUUAAAUUAUAUGUUAACUUAAAUUAAAUAA